CCUACGGGGGGCAGCAGUGGGGGAUAUUGCACAAUGGGGGAAACCCUGAUGCAGCGACGCCGCGUGGGUGAAGAAGUAUUUCGGUAUGUAAAGCCCUAUCAGCAGGGAAGAAAGAAGACGGUACCUGACUAAGAAGCCCCGGCUAACUACGUGCCAGCAGCCGCGGUAAUACGUAGGGGGCGAGCGUUAUCCGGAUUCACUGGGUGUAAAGGGAGCGUAGACGGCCGUGCAAGCCAGGAGUGAAAGCCCGGGGCCCAACCCCGGGACUGCUCUUGGAACUGCGUGGCUGGAGUGCAGGAGGGGCAGGCGGAAUUCCUGGUGUAGCGGUGAAAUGCGUAGAUAUCAGGAGGAACACCGGUGGCGAAGGCGGCCUGCUGGACUGCAACUGACGUUGAGGCCCGAAAGCGUGGGGAGCAAACAGGAUUAGAUACCCCAGUAGUC
rnacentral:rRNA from 1 species